rnacentral:snRNA from 1 species
UUGCUCUCUUCAGGAGCACAUAUACUAAAAUUGGAACAAUAGAGAGACUACUAGCAAGGCCCUUAUGCAAGGAUGAGAUUCAAAUUCAUGUGUGGAAAGAAAGAAAU